CCUUGCCAGCCCGCUCAGAAACUCGAAAGGAAGUUGACGGGGGCCCGCACAAGCGGUGGAGUAUGUGGUUUAAUUCGAUGCAACGCGAAGAACCUUACCUGGUCUGACAUCCCGGAGACCCUUAGGAAACUAGGGGGUGCUUCCAUCUGGAAGAAUCUGGAGACAGGUGCUGCAUGGCUGUCGUCAGCUCGUGUCGUGAGAUGUUGGGUUAAGUCCCGCAACGAGCGCAACCCUUGCCUUUAGUUGCCAGCAGUUCGGCUGGGCACUCUAAAGGGACUGCCGGUGUUAAACCGGAGGAAGGUGGGGAUGACGUCAAGUCCUCAUGGCCUUUAUGACCAGGGCUACACACGUACUACAAUGGCCGAUACAAAGGGCAGCGACACUGCGAGGUGAAGCCAAUCCCGUAAAAUCGGUCUCAGUCCGGAUUGGAGUCUGCAACUCGACUCCAUGAAGUUGGAAUCGCUAGUAAUCGUGGAUCAGCAUGCCACGGUGAAUACGUUCCCGGGCCUU
rnacentral:rRNA from 1 species